CAGAGUGGUCCAGUGGGUGAACACAUUGAUGACCAGGAGAGAAAACCAGGCGAUAAAUCUUUAGAAUCAUCCAAAACUAAUGACAACGAAACCACAGAUGGUUACACGAGUGGAAACAAGAAGAAGCCGAGUCAGACAGAAACUGAGACGCUGCUUGAGACACUUCACCUUCAAGAUAAAGUUCAACAGAAGUUGUCACCAGCAAAUUUUCUUCAAAUACAUGUACCUGGGAAACACAUGGAC